GUGUUGUAUGAAAGGAUAAAAGGUAAGCACUCCCCUUGACAGGGAUGGAAGAGGCCCUUGGGCCUAACAACACACAUACUGUUUAGGCAUUGCCAACUUCUUCAUGGCAUCUAGCCACUGUGUUUA
ensembl:snRNA Gm24831 predicted gene, 24831